GACAUUUCUGAGCAUUUAUACCUUGUUUGAUUACCUGUUGCCUACCUGGAUUGUUUAUACCCGCCUGAUCGUUCUCUGCCUGCCUCUUUGACCUUGUCUGCCUAUUGGAUUUGUUCUAUUCUCUGUCUGCCACCUGCCUCGACCCUUUGCAUGGACUCAGCUGCACAUGGAUCCCAACGUCACUGAAUCAUCAUUACACUAAACCAUUAAGGGCCUUGUAGAGACUGCAUUAACAUGACUGUGCAACAUAACAUCCUGACACCAAGGGAUCAUGGGAGAGAUGUUGAACUAAAAUAGCAUUUGUCUUCUAACCUACGGCUGUAUUGCUUGAAAGUGGAUCGCUGACUCACACGCUCCCAGAAAACCACACCCAACCUCCGCCUGGAGACUUUUUCUGCAGUCAUAGUUUCCAUGAAAAUCAACUAGAUACCCGCAGGCCUGCAUUUAUACAAGGAAGUGGAGGAAGGAAGGGGGUUUUCAAACAGUAACACACUUUUUACCAUGUCCCGACAAGC